UACAACAUAGCGUUAAUGCAGUGGAUCCCAUCAGAAAUCUGCAGAUAAGCGUGCUCAAGCUAGAGUAGUACUAUGAUGGGUGACCACCUAGGAAGUCUUAGUGUUUUAC
rfam:Picea glauca, whole genome shotgun sequence.